CAAUAGCGUAUAUUAAAGUUGUUGCAGUUAAAAAGCUCGUAGUUGGACCUUGGACCUGGACAGGCGGUCCGCCUCACGGCGUGUACUGUCUUGCUGGGUCUUUCCUCUUGGUGAUCUGUUGUUUCGGCAGCAGGGAACCAGGACUUUUACUUUGAAAAAAUUAGAGUGUUCAAAGCAGGCUCGACGCCGGAAUAUAUUAGCAUGGAAUAUUAAAAUAGGACGUGCGGUUCUAUUUUGUUGGUUUUUGGAAUCGCCGUAAUGAUUAAUAGGGACAGUCGGGGGCAUUAGUACUCACAUGCUAGAGGUGAAAUUCUUGGAUUUUGUGAAGACUAACUUCUGCGAAAGCAUUUGCCAAGGAUGUUUUCAUUAA
rnacentral:rRNA from 1 species